rnacentral:rRNA from 1 species
AACCCUUAUCCUUUGUUGCCAGCGAUUAGGUCGGGAACUCAAAGGAGACUGCCAGUGAUAAACUGGAGGAAGGUGGGGAUGACGUCAAGUCAUCAUGGCCCUUACGACCAGGGCUACACACGUGCUACAAUGGCGCAUACAAAGAGAAGCGACCUCGCGAGAGCAAGCGGACCUCAUAAAGUGCGUCGUAGUCCGGAUUGGAGUCUGCAACUCGACUCCAUGAAGUCGGAAUCGCUAGUAAUCGUGGAUCAGAAUGCCACGGUGAAUACGUUCCCGGGCCUUGUACACACCGCCCGUCACACCAUGGGAGUGGGUUGCAAAAGAAGUAGGUAGCUUAACCUUCGGGAGGGCGCUUACCACUUUGUGAUUCAUGACUGGGGUGAAGUCGUAACAAGGUAACCGUAGGGGAACC